ACUGUCAAAAGAGGAGCUUUUAGGUUUUACAGCUGAAUUUUCCGUGAGGAAUAUUGUAAUGUAAAGAUUACAAAAUUGUCAAAUGACAUUCUCCAACGAGCUCACGACUGCGGUACUUGCGGUGGCUGAUCACUGUCAAAAGAAAGUCUAGUAUUUCCCGAAGAAGUAGUAAGUUCCAAUGUCCUUUGGUAUUUCCGAAUUGCUACGUGGAGCUCCAUUUUGAAAAUAUCCAUGGGUUCCAGCAAUGCAUUCAAAAGUUGGCAAUAAUUAUAACACUUCCCUUCAUUCGUUUUUUACAACUUAAAUCUACUUCCGAAGAAGAAAACGAAGUGCUGUGGGAAUUUCCAAAGGUAGCUCUUAGUGCAUGUUAUGUUUUUAGAGGAAUAUAGUUGCCCAGACUUGCAGCCACAAAUGUCCGCCAGUUCUGUUUUUGAUGAUUGUCACGAACAUGCUAAACCAUAUCAGUUAUUUACACGGUAUUUCUACCCAAACAUGUAAAUGACCACAGUGGGAGCAGGUGGUUUGGAUAUAUGGCUGUGGUCGUAAAACUUGUCAAAAGUUUCUUGGAAUCCCCCCUCCCUUUAGCACCAAACAACCUUAACUGUCACGUUGUUAACACCGCGUCAGCGUUUUCGCACUGACGUCAACUAGUCGACACGAGUUUGCUGUAUAUAACUGCACGGCAGAGCUCAAACCAUCAUUCGUGCUUCUGUUUUCACCAACAGCAAUACCAACGCGUUAUCUGAGCCAUGGCUCGUUUUGCCGCCGUUCUCUGCCUCGCGCUAGUGCUGGCGCUGGUGGCCCUCUCCCAGGCCGACCCACAGCCCCACGAGGGCCACGGCCACGGGGAACCGGUCUUGGGGGCCGACCCUUGCACCUGGGGACCCAGCCACUGGUGCGCGAGUAAAGUCAACGCCAAGGGGUGCAAGAUGACGUCCUGGUGCACGGAGAAGAAGAUCCUCGCUUUCCAGUGAGCCGGCGCACCUCCUACUAAUUGAUCAUUUCUCUGUUUUGACCUUCUUGAAACUUUUGAAAAACAGGUGCAUCAAGGAAUGGAUUGUAAAGGCAAAUUAUACUGUGCAAUGAUCAGUU